AUUAAAUGGGCUACUCUAAACACAGGAAGACGAGAUACUGUGGUGGCUAAAAAAAGAAGUGGCCCAGUACAUUCAAAGGCAUAUGCCGUGGCUGAUGUGCUUAAGACCUCAAUUUACUGUAUUAUAUCUGCUUUCCAUGAUGAAAUGCUCACUAGUGACAAAGCAGGCCUUCUUGAAAAGGAUUGGCUCAUUGGUGGCAAGCCACUUUUUGGAACCCGUGAACUGCUCCUGCAGAAAUUGCGUCUUUUCUUGGAUUUUAGAGCUAGCUAGCCAAUCGCUUCCUUGGGUUCAGAGCUAUCUUCCUAUUUUAGGCUAUGCAAGCAAUGGGAUGUUAUGGAGUUCAGUGGCGAAAUGAUUUGUUCAAAUAUUUAGUUGGAUCAAAUGGUGAGAAUAUAAUGUCAACUGGUGUGUUGAGACGAUGAAAUAGGGUGGAGGAUGGUUUAACUGCUUGAAGAGAGAUUUUGGUGUACCAAUUAUACAAACUACAGUUGUUUGUGUAGUUUGGAUUUUUUUUUUUUAAUACAUUUGGAUUUUCCAAUGUUGUAGAACGUUGAUCAAGCUGCCAAUGUGACCAUGAGGAUUGUUCAUAAUCUGAAUUUGGAUUUCAACCAAUGUGGAUGCUAUUUGAUGGCAUUUGAGAUUUUCUUGUGUUUUUGAGUAAUGAGACAUCUUAGCGAGCAAAACAGACAGUGCAAUUGAUUUCGGAUAAAGAUUGGUAAAAAAAAUCAAG
rnacentral:misc_RNA from 1 species